GACGAACCGUGCAAACGUUGUUCGGAAUCACUGGGCUUAAAGGGCGCGUAGGCGGGCUUCCAAGUCGGUGGUGAAAUCUUUCGGCCCAACCGGAAAAGUGCCGCCGAUACUGGGAGUCUCGAGGGAGGUAGGGGUCGAUGGAACUUUAGGUGGAGCGGUGAAAUGCGUAGAUAUCUAAAGGAACGCCGGUGGCGAAAGCGAUCGACUGGACCUCUUCUGACGCUGAGGCGCGAAAGCUAGGGGAGCAAACAGG
rnacentral:rRNA from 1 species